rnacentral:lncRNA from 1 species
CAAAUACUAAUGGAAUUGACAUGCCGGUAAAGAUGAUAUAUUUGGUGGUGAUUGCAGUGACGUGGAAUGCUCUGAAAAAUCGUUCUAUUUUGUACGUGCCCUUAGUUACUGUGAUAUUGACAAGAUAGAGUUACACGUGCUGAAAGAAACAAUGGAUAUAUAACUAGAAUUUUCAAAAAGAAUUGAUGGGUAAAAUACAAGUGACAUUCAAUCUUAAGCUCGACGAAUGGGACCACAGAUCGGAGAAGAUGACCCGACGUCUAGGGCAUUCGAAUUUUCUCCGCUACCAGCAAGUAGUGGUAUAAAUACGGCGUUCAAAGACAGAUCAGUCAAGACGAACAGUUGACGGAUGUUUCAUUUCUUCAUCAGAUUCCAGCCAGUACGUCAAGGUUACUGUGUGUUUUCGUUGUAUCUAUAAGGUCAUUCUUAGAAACAUCAGACAGUUGAGCGCCCUCUAGUAGUCGACGCAUUUUCAGCUUUGAGCGCCCUCUGAAAGUCGGUGCAUUUCCGGGAAGCUGGUGAUACAGCGCCAUCUGGAAAAAAAUGAGACAGACGUCGC